UAGCCUCUAAAAAGUUAUUAUUCCAAAAACCCUUAAAACACCUUCUUCUUUUUCUACCGCUUGAAGUUUGGAGAGUCAAGUUAUUCGACCUCAACUCCCGUAAACAUCUCUACAUCUUCAGUAAGAUGUCGAAUCUAGGGUUUUGAGAGGGCAAAAAUAUCUAAGUGGGCUACUAAUCUCAUCGUGAAUUUCGAUUUUGUGGUAUAUCUCCCAAAUUCAAUUUUGUGUAUCAAUGAGUUUUCUGAUUUUUAUAUUUAACAUUUGGAUUUAGGUUCGGUGUGUGCGAAGGUGAUUUAAUCAUGGUGCGUUAUUCUAGAUGAUUAAUAAUAUACUGGAUCUGGGCAAUCAGUUGGGAGGUGUGUAUUCAGAUUCUGGGUUCUCCGUACCCCAGAAUAAUUCAGAAUUGUGAAACUGCUCGCAAGAUCUCAGGAAACUUCUUACUUCCCCAUUUCUCGAGACAGAUCAGGUUGUCAAGAAGAUUACAGAGGACCUAAAGACAGCUCUUCAAGCUGCUUCUUACUAGGCAGCUGUAUAUUCUAUGUUGAUAGCUAAAAGCCGCGUGAGAACUGUAAGGUUAGUCUCUCACUCUCUGUUCAUCUUGAAUAAAAUGAAUGCCAAGGAUGCAGACCUGUAUAACAAUACAGGAUCACAGACUUGAAAAGUGUAUAUGUUGAGCCUCCUGAAUCUGUGUAAAUGAAGUGGACUACAAUAAAUCAAGAUUACGAAGAAGCGCACUCUCAUGGAGGUGAAUGCAGCGAUUGGAGUUCCUUUGCAGCUGCUUUCCUUUCUUUCUCCUUCGUCACCGCUACUAGUGACAUGGUGUUGCAGCCAUUUAUACAACUAUAUCUAAGUUAUAACCUCUCGGUUAUGUACAAAAUUUUGGCUCGAUUUUGAACAUGAUGACCAGUUGCAGAUGCAAAAAAAUUAUAGGCAACAGAAGGGCUAACUACAUGUUCUUUUUUACUCCAGGUUUUCGAAGUUGGAUAGAGUUUGUGUCAUGUUCCUCAGUGAGAUGUUCUCGUGAAUUCAGAUGGCAUAAUUGGUGGUAGCUUGAUGUAUAUUUACAUCGGUCAUUUAGUCUUAUUAGAAAACUACUCCGUAUAGUUUUGAUUUCUUUAUUUUUCUGACAGAAGAUGAAUUUUUAAGGGAAUGUAUCAGUUAUUUUUUUUGGUUCAAAAAUGUAUUGGUUAUGUGGUUGUAUGGAAGAAUAUAUUUUCAAGAAUUCAAUAUGUAUGAAUACAACUUUUUUUUGUGUGCAAA